CCGGGAGUAGGAAGUAGGCUGGGCGGGGAAGAGGGCCGCGUUGUAGGCGGGUUCCGAGGAGGUGCAGAAGAAACCGGAAGUUGCCUAGUGGCACCUGCUCCCGGAAGUCAAUCCAUUGGAAACUGCUAACCCAGGUGGUGCCGUUGUGUGUGCCGAAGUGGCUUCCCUCUGGAUUGUCCCCAGCUGCCAGGCGAGGCCCGGGAGCGCAUCCGACGCACACCACCCGGCCGCCGCCGGUCACGAGCCCCGGAGGCCCAGCCCGCCGCCCAUCCUCGGCGACCUUGUCAGGGUGCCGGGGUCCCCAUUUGGUGAUUUGACGGAGGACAGGAAGGCUUUUUGAUUUAUUGAGAUACAACUUAUCUUGUUUUUGAUUACCUUGACAGUUUUGAGGUGUACUGGUUAGUUGUUUGGCCUGAG